CCUACGGGAGGCAGCAGUAGGGAAUAUUGCUCAAUGGGGGAAACCCUGAAGCAGCAACGCCGCGAGGAGGAUGAAGGUUUUCGGAUUGUAAACUCCUUUUGUUAGAGAAGAUAAUGACGGUAUCUAACGAAUAAGCACCGGCUAACUACGUGCCAGCAGCCGCGGUAAUACGGAGGGUGCAAGCGUUACUCGGAAUUACUGGGCGUAAAGAGAGCGUAGGCGGGAUAGCAAGUCAGAUGUGAAAUCCUAUGGCUUAACCAUAGAACUGCAUUUGAAACUGUUAGUCUAGAGUAUGGGAGAGGUAGGUGGAAUUCUUGGUGUAGGGGUAAAAUCCGUAGAGAUCAAGAGGAAUACUCAUUGCGAAGGCGACCUGCUAGAACAUAACUGACGCUGAUGCGCGAAAGCGUGGGGAGCAAACAGGAUUAGAUACCCCAGUAGUC
rnacentral:rRNA from 1 species